rnacentral:rRNA from 1 species
GACGAACGCUGGCGGCGUGCCUAACACAUGCAAGUCGAACGGAAAGGCACUGCUUUUGUGGGGUGAUCGAGUGGCGAACGGGUGAGUAACACGUGAGUAACCUGCCCUUGACUUUGGGAUAACUUCAGGAAACUGGGGCUAAUACCGGAUAGGAGCUCCUGCUGCAUGGUGGGGGUUGGAAAGUUUCGGCGGUUGGGGAUGGACUCGCGGCUUAUCAGCUUGUUGGUGGGGUAGUGGCUUACCAAGGCUUUGACGGGUAGCCGGCCUGAGAGGGUGACCGGCCACAAUGGGACUGAGAGACGGCCCAGACUCCUACGGGAGGCAGCAGGGGGGAAUAUUGCACAAUGGGCGGGAGUCGGAGGCAGCAACGCCGCGGGCGGGAUGACGGCCUUCGGGUUGUAAACCGCUUUCGCCUGUGACGAAGCGUGAGUGACGGUAAUGGGUAAAGAAGCACCGGCUAACUACGUG